rnacentral:rRNA from 1 species
CCCUUAGAUGUCCUGGGCCGCACGCGCGUUACACUGAUGCAUUCAACGAGUUUAUAACCUUGGCCGAGAGGCCUGGGCAAUCUUGUUAACGUGCAUCGUGGUAGGGAUAGAUUAUUGAAAUUAUUAAUCUUGAACGAGGAAUUCCUAGUAAACGCAGAUCAUCAAUCUGCAUUGAUUACGUCCCUGCCCUUUGUACACACCGCCCGUCGCACCUACCGAUUGGAUGGUCCGGUGAAUAAUUCGAACUGCGGCAUUGACCGGUUCCCGAUCGUUGCUGCGGAAAGUUUAGUGAACCUUAUCACUUAGAGGAAGGAGAAGUCGUAACA